AUUGAACGCUGGCGGCAUGCCUUACACAUGCAAGUCGAACGGCAGCAUAGGAGCUUGCUCCUGAUGGGGAGUGGCGAACGGGUGAGUAAUAUAUCGGAACGUGCCCUAGAGUGGGGGAUAACUAGUCGAAAGAUUAGCUAAUACCGCAUACGAACUACGGAUGAAAGUGGGGGAUCGCAAGACCUCAUGCUCCUGGAGCGGCCGAUAUCUGAUUAGCUAGUGGGUGGGGUAAAAGCCUACCAAGGCGACGAUCAGUAGCUGGUCUGAGAGGACGACCAGCCACACUGGGACUGAGACACGGCCCAGACUCCUACGGGAGGCAGCAGUGGGGAAUUUUGGACAAUGGGGGCAACCCUGAUCCAGCAAUGCCGCGUAAGUGAAGAAGGCCUUCGGGUUGUAAAGCUCUUUUGUCAGGGAAGAAACGGUUCUGGAUCAUACCCAGAGCUAAUGACGGUACCUGAAGAAUAAGCACCGGCUAACUACGUGCCAGCCGCCGCGGUAA
rnacentral:rRNA from 1 species